GCAUUUUAACAGUUUCACGCAAGUCGUCGUAAAACAUUACCAGCAACGAAAUAACAUAUGAUAUUUCCAGCAUAGUGUUAUGUAUUUUGGUACGAGUACGACAUUUGUAGAAAUUCCAGUACUAUAUAUAAUUAUAAUAUUAACAAAUUCGUGUAGUAUAAUGUACACAGAUGGACUUCAUCAGGUCGUUUAAAACAGCAGAGUUCUAUAUAUAUAGAAGAGUUUUAUAAACUUUGCCCUAUAUGCAUGCAUGCAUGCACCUUCCAAAACUAGCGUAUGAGAAAAUUAGAAAAAUAUAUAGGGAGAGUUUAUAAUUACUUGAUUAAAUAAUAACUAGGUAUGCAUGCAUAGUUCAGUAAAAUGGAGUAGCAUGUAUGAUAUACUGUCAAAUACAGUAUCACAUUUUAAUGGUUUUAUCCGAACGGCAACGACGCAAACUGUACUCGAAGACCAUGACCGC